rnacentral:misc_RNA from 1 species
CAGAGUUGCAAAACUCCCUAAACCAUUGUGAACGUUACCUAAACCGUUGCUUCGGCGGGCGGCCCCGGGGUUCUCCCCGGGCGCCCCUGGGCCCCAUCACGGGCGCCCGCCGGAGGUCACCAAACUCUUGAUAAUUUAUGGCCUCUCUGAGUCUUCUGUACUGAAUAAGUCA